UGGAAUAGGUGGAAUGGUAUAAAAUACAUCAAACACGUUUUUUUUUUUACCCUUAUUUUACCAGGUAAAUUGACUGAGAACACAUUCUCAUUUACCGCAAUGACCUGGGGAAUAGUUACAGGGGAGAGGUGGAGGGAUGAAUGUGCCAAUUGUAACAUGGUUUGAUGCCAUUCGCUCCGUUACAACCAUUAUUAUGAGCCGUACUCCCAUCAGCAGGCUCCACUGAGUCUCCCUCGACUCCUAUGAAAAGAACACACCAUCAUGAGGCCUCUGAUAGUGACCCUAGAUACUGCCCUGGUGGCACUGAUAACUUCAUUAACAACAGCAGAUUCAAGACUGACCAUAUCACAGACCAGUAUCUUUGAGGGUACGUUGCUAUGGCCAUCAAUGGGGCUCUGGCAAAGACCUCACAUCCAGCCUCACCUCUUGCCUGCUCACCAACAGUCAUCGAUGGGGAGAACAG